rnacentral:lncRNA from 1 species
CUUUAAAUUUUAGUCUUCAGAGGAAGCAAAAGACAUACUUCAUAAGUACAAAUGAUCUUCCUAAGUACAAAAGAUACGGUGGUACCAUGGUUCAUGAACGUAAUUUGUUCCAUGAUUCUGGGGAAGAUGGAUGUGGUCAUAUUCAUCACCAGACGCAAAGUUCAGGAAAAAGGAGCCUGAAGCAGAAGUAUCACAAGUUUGAGUCCCACUUGGGCAACUUACCAAGACCCUGACUAAAAAAAAAUAAAUAAAAAUAAAAAGGACUGGAAUGCUGCUUAGUGAGAAGACCUUGAGUUCAAUCCCCAGUACCACAAAAAGGAAAAUGAAGAAUUACAGUGAGUAAAUCCACAAACCUGAUGGGAGAAGCCCAAGUGAUUCUAAUCCAGCACCUCUGUGGAGG